GAUGAACGCUGGCGGCGUGCCUAAUACAUGCAAGUCGAGCGAACGGACGAGAAGCUUGCUUCUCUGAUGUUAGCGGCGGACGGGUGAGUAACACGUGGAUAACCUACCUAUAAGACUUGGAUAACUUCGGGAAACCGUAGCUAAUACCGGAUAAUAUUUUGAACCGCAUUGUUCAAAAGUGAAAGACGGUCUUUCUGUCACUUAUAGAUGGAUCCGCGCUGCAUUAGCUAGUUGGUAAGGUAACGGCUUACCAAGGCAACGAUGCAUAUCCGACCUGAGAGGGUGAUCGGCCAAACUGGAACUGAGACACGGUCAAGACUACUACGGGAGGCAGCAGUAGGGAAUAUUCCGCAAUGGGCGAAAGCAUGACGGAGCAACGCCGCGUGAGAGAUGAAGGUCUUCGGAUCGUAAAACUCUGUUAUUAGGGAAGAAAAUAUGUGUAAGUAACUGUGCACAUCUUGACGGUACCUAAUCAGAAAGCCACGGCUAACUACGUG
rnacentral:rRNA from 1 species